ACAUCACUGAACAAACUGUGUGCACUGCAAUACUCAGAUUGAUAUGAGUCACUUCCUAUUGCAUGUUACUCCAUCCUCUCUGAGUAGAGUAAGGCACACCAAUCACCAGUUUUGGUAC
rnacentral:pre_miRNA from 7 species